GUCAAUCCAAGCGUCUUUUAGAGUGUCUAUUCCGUGUCCAAGCCCUCAUGUUGUUUCUUCCAAAACUGACAAGCGGCAUAACCAUGUUUGUUGGUGACGUCUCUGCCGUCUUCUCACGUUGCCGAUCCCCGCGUCGCAAGGCCCGUUCACCCAGAUGACAUCAUCAACUCCAGGCAUGCCAAGUGUUGUCCGUAAAGGCCAGGCGGCUUUGGGAGUGAGGGAGUGCCGCUGGUGCGCUGAGACGAGAGGGAUUUUUCAAAGCCAUAUGGAUUCCAGCAUGUCACGUCAAGCCCCCUGUACCCAGAAACUAACGGGGAAGCUGAAAAAGGGGUUCAGAUAUUAAAGAGACUGCUGAAGAGAGCCAACGAUGGUAAUGUUGAUCUUUACCUUGCUUUAUUGAGUUAAAGACCAGCACCACUGGAGUGUGGAGCGUCCCUUGCUAAGUUACUCAUGGGUCGUAAAUUACGCACCACACUUCCACAAAUACCAAAUGUGCGUGAAAAC